rnacentral:lncRNA from 1 species
UUUGCCUACUACUUUUUAGUGCAUUAAAUAAAUUUGAAGGUCUGACAUACAAAAAUUGAUGCAUUGAAAGAAAUAUAAAAGUACCACAUAAUUAAAAGUACCAACAUUAUAGCUCUGAUGACAACAACAUUGCAUUAUAUAUGCAGGGGGUCGAAGUUCGAAUCUCAAUCAUCUCACUUAUCCACUUUGAGGAUGAAAUUUCUAUCCACUAAGCUACUUAAAAAAAUACCAACAUUUUUAUUGCAAAGACGUUUAUAUAUUCUUAAAAGUACCAUUUAAUUAUAUUUGAACUUAACAACUACCAUUACACACAUCGGCAAACACCCCAUAUGCAAUGUGAAUGUUCAUGAUAGAGACACUCAUUUUCAGGACAUUCUUCAUCAUGUUCGCAUAAAUAAAUUCCUAUGACAUCAAAUAUGAAAAAAGAAUGUUAAUAAUAUGGAAUGAUACAUUGUAUAUUUAAAUAAAAGUAAAAUAAGAUAAAGAAGAAAUAUGAAUUUUUUUAGAAUAUAUAUAGACUUACCAUUAGUUACAAUCAUACACAUGAAAAGGAAAAUAAUCAUAACAUAAAUAAACUUUAGAAUUUCUGCCAUAUUUUUAUUCUCGUUUGUAUGUAGAAAUAAAAUUUGGAUGAUCACUUUAUAGGGUGAAAAAUACC